ACGUGUCCACUUUUCUUGAGCGACAAAAAUGUUCUCGCCUUCGUUGUAGGCUUCAUUCACGUGCAGUAAUUAAAACUUUUGACACCUCAACAUAUUGGGCUUUGUUUUCUCUGGUCCAUCAAGGGAUCUCCUUCUUCUUUGUGCUGCUUGAAGAAAACUCGAAGACCUUACGAUCUCUCUUCCGCUUCCUCGGCAAAGUAACGUUCCGGCGUUAUGUCAAUCACUGAAGAAAACCCACUAAAGCCACGAUUUCCUCUUCAUUGCAACUUUUUGGAUUGCCUCAGUUUCACUCUGUAUAUCCUUUUGUUCUCUAGCUUCUCCUCUUUACCAAAAUUACAAAAAUCAAAGAAUCUUAGCAAGCUUCUACAGUCCAAGCUGCGAGAUUACCUUACGAACAAUGGUCGCAAAGUUGAUUCCGUACAGUUCAAAGGUUCAUUCUGCAGAUCAAAUGAUCAUAUGGAUGACUCAGCAUCGAGCACUGAAACUUCACAUGUACUCGCUCCAUCUCUCUCUUCUCUCUGGUCUCAUGGCGAUUAUGAUUCUGUUUUUAUUUAACUCCAAGGUAUUCUUACCUGAUUAAUUUGUUUACAGGAAGCAAAAUACGCUGCUGUAUAGGACUAUAAAUCUUCUUAUAAUCUUAGGCUUCUUAGUUUUUUUAGGGUUUUGGCAGAAAUUCGAAAUUAAUAUGACAAAUAUUGCAGAGAACGUGUUGAGAUUCAUAAAAAGUCGUACGAGGCAGAUGGGACUUUUGGCUCACCAGAUCAUUCUCUUAGCCAACUGCAAAAAGUUAUGGACACUACAACCGACAAUGGAACUAGGGGUCUCAAUAUAUAUAUGUGGCAGGGGGUUGGUGUCAAUGCUCAUGUGGAUAAUGAACUGCCCCAGUUUGUUGCUGACAUUGUUGGGAAGACCUUCACUUUUCAGCUCAUGCUAUGAGCGUUCAACUUCACUUCCAAGCAUCAAACCUUCACCAUCUCCCGUUCUUUUACUGAGUGUCAGCAUGCACCACUCCCAGACUUUUUGGUGAUGGAGCUCAACAUGGUCCUGAUGAUCGGAUUCCUGUCCAGAAUCCAAUAGCUUCUAAGGUCUCUGAUGGUACCAGUAGAACUGUUGUUGAGCAGACUGAUGGUGUGGCAGCAACACUUGUGAAAAUACAAAUGUCAACCAUCAAACUUCCUCAUCUGUUGUACCAGAAAGAGGGGGUUCAGCAUCUAACAAUCAGACUGUUGGCUCAAAGAAUGGAAAGAAGGCACGGUUGGAUUAGAUCCAACUAGAAAACACAAAUCACCAUUACAUUUCCUUAUGUUUAUAUGUCGUCAUUUUCGUUUGGUUAUGCACUGUAACUUAGAACUUUAUCUAUUUUUAACUAAACUCAACAUGGCGGCGGCGGUGUUUAACCUAUCAAUGAAAGUUUUUUCAGUAUA